GGCAUUUCAAGCCUUCCAUGAAAAGAACCAGGAACGGCACGUCAAUUCAAAAGUAUCUCCAUUUACAAAGGAACGACUGGAGAACUUGUACAACCAUCUUGUUUUUUUGGCUCGGAAAGGUACUUUGUUUCUGCUUUCCUCGGAGUCAAUUCAAGUCAAACUUACUCCAGGAUCAUGGACUUCGAAGAAACUGAUCAUACAACAAGUUGCUCCAAUUUUUUAAGGACAACAAUCCUUGUGCAGGAAACAAAAGAACAAAGGUUGCCAAUGGUUCUCUCUCGACCAGGGGCGGAGCCCCUGCACUAGACCUGUCCUGAACUUUUAGAGCCAACUCAAUCCCUUUCAUUUUUUUUUCUUUUUUGAGAAUUGGCUUAUUUGGCUUUCCAAUUUACCAACGCAAUAGAAAAAAGUUGAAACAAAAAAAUAUAAUCUGACCAAAUCCAAAUCUGAAGACUGAAACCACAAAAUCUAGGUCUUGAAAUCUCUCAACAUCUUACUCUCGCCUCCGAGUCUCUCGCAUCGACCCCUUCCAUCGGCAAAAGAAGAGGGUCUCUCGUUUCUCGCCUUCCAC
rnacentral:lncRNA from 1 species